CCCGUUAGAAAAAUAGCAACGCUUUAAAAGAGUCCUGUAGCUUUAAGAAAGGGAGGCUCCCUACCUAACUUGUUAGGAGGACUUGUUUUGCAACCCUAAUUAGUUUUAUUGGCUGUAACAGGCAGUAAUUAUUCUGGAAAAUAGUUAGCCCCGCCCACCCCAGGGACUUGGUUGAGACUGUUUGUCACACAGGAGAGUGCGUAGCAAGAGGGGAGAAUGGGAGAGACAAAAAGACGAUCAGAAACAGAAAAUCAUAAUCGUUAAUUUAAGCAGUAAACCUAAAGAGUAGCUCCUUAAAUGACCCAGGGACCAAAUAUUUUCCAGAUCGCACACUUCAAUCUCUUUCCUUGGGAUCUUGAAGAAACCUGUGAACCUAGGAUUCUCUCCCUGACGAGGGAGAUGGCGAGCCGACCAGCUUGAUCACCUUGAUUCAUCUUCAUCCAUUUGAGGAAGAACCCCCUGAUACCCCUUGUUUCUCCCAACCCCACUCCCACUGUGGUAGGAUUGUGACUGAGCAAUUACAUUUUAUUUGAUACUUUAUUUUUUGUAAAAAGGGUGCACCCAACCAACAAAACUGACUUGAAACUAACUAAAUUGAACUUGACCAAUUGAACUUAACCAGACUGAACAGAAGACAUUCAGAACUUAAUGGACAGUGAAUACAGUUACAACACUCAGGACAUUGAUAUGAAAACAAAUGAAUGUGUUUGAAUGUGAUAAGUAAAUGGCGGCUUUACAUAUGGUCAUUUUCUUUAAUACAGUUCUAACCAUUUUGCACUUA